UGUGCGUGCCGGUGUAUCGUGGCUUGAGAGUGGACUGAGGAAAUGCAAAGCGUGUAUGUAAUCCGACACGUCUCUUAACUGGGUUAAUCUGUGCGGCGAUCGCCAUUCACGGAGACGCCUGGAGCGUGUUGUGGUGGGCUGACGGACUGCUGUAAUUCCGAUUCAUUCAUUGUGCUGCUGCGGGUUGCGCUGUGUUGCUUCCUCCGCUAUGUGUGUGCGUUGUUCACUUUGGGCUGCGGUCCGUGUGAACCUCGAUUAAGGUAACGAAGUGGUGAUUUCGCUUGCUGGUCUCUCAACGGCCUGUGGUUGUGGACGGCUUCGUUAACCCGUCGUUUUCGGAACAGCCCUCCAUACCUGACUGUCUGUGGUAAAUUCUGUGCCAGUUGGCUAAUGUACUGUUUCAAAGUGUAUUCCUUCCUCCACUAACGUACGAUUCCCUCAACGUCUACUUUGCAGUAACCACUAUGGGGUAUUUGUUUAAAAGUUGAAUUGUGAUUGUUUUUCUUUUCUUUCAUUUGUUUGGUUGUUUAACUGUAUGCAUUCAGCAAAGUUAUUAUAAUUUGUAUUCUUUUGUUGUAAUUUGUUUUUUUUAUUUUAUUUAAUUUGUAUAUGUAUCUUCAUACACACCUGCGGCGCCUGCCGGCUUGCAAGCUGUAUUGACGCUCUUUUUGUCCUCGGUGUGGCGUGUUUUUCUUAGCUUGUUGCAGCCUGCUAAGGGUAAGGUGCAAUGGUGCCUGUCAUACCUGAAUGUAUGCAAGUUGUCUCGUAUUAACUGUGAAACCUGGUCCCAACUGUGAUUAACUGUCUGGCUUGCAAGGGGUAGAUUUCUAGAUCGUUUUUGCAUCCAGCUGUGACGGUUUCGGUUACCGCUUUACAAGUUGACUAAUGGUGUGUGUGUGUGUGUUUUAUGAUUGAAAUUGUGUAUUCUUUUUUUGUUUCUUUGUUUUAGAAUUGGGGCGGCAGACAGCAGAAGUCUUAGGAGUUGUUUCCUCUUACUCUCGGUGGUGGUAUUCUUCACUGAUUGCCGUGCUCCAUUUGAGGUGCAGUGUAUCUGUGCUGUGUGCACGUGUGGUGGAUGUGACUUUGCUGUGUCUUUUUCUCUUCAUUCUAGAUAGGAGAGUUCGGGACUUGUUCCUGAGAGGAGCUGAAUGCCGAUCCCCAAUUUGUAAUUGUGGUGACUGCUCAAUAGACGGGUUGGUGGUGAAUUGGGGCGGCAGACAGCAGAAGUCUUAGGAGUUGUUUCCUCUUACUCUCGGUGGUGGUAUUCUUCACUGAUUGCCGUGCUCCAUUUGAGGUGCAGUGUAUCUGUGCUGUGUGCACGUGUGGUGGAUGUGACUUUGCUGUGUCUUUUUCUCUUCAUUCUAGAUAGGAGAGUUCGGGACUUGUUCCUGAGAGGAGCUGAAUGCCGAUCCCCAAUUUGUGUGCGUGUGGUUGUGAAUUGAAAUUUAUAUUGUUAUUGUGUCUGUGAUGUACUUAGUGCAUCUUUGUUUUAUUGCAAAAUAAAUAAAUUUAUUUUUAUAUACAAGUUGUGUCUCAUACCUGACCCCACCGAACUGAACCUGUGAGCUUUAUUUUGGUUUAGAUCAAUUCCCCUAUAAAUUAACUCGGGGUGGCGUAGUCGGUCUUAUAUGGGCUUCUGAUUUGAUUGCCCUUUCCCAAUUAUUCCUGUUCGCCACA